GUGAUGUGACAGCACAGUGGAACUCUGGUGUACGACUGGCUCACAACAACAUCCUUUCAUGUGCAUCAAUAUCACUGACUCAUCUCCCACCAUUAUCUUCUUACUAACGACCAGAUAGAGGCCCCUCACAGAUGCUCAAACCAUGCUCUGGAACCGCAGUCAAAAGUCUACAGUAAAUGAUUCUCCCUCUGCUGUGUCCUGUGAGGAGCAAUUGGGAUUAAUGCCAAGGGGGCGUGACCUGAGUGGACCCCAGGGCCUAUAGCCGGACUAUGUCCGGGUGGGGCUCCUCCUGCAGAAAGUUGUGGGGUGUGUAGCCAGGGACCUAGAGAGGUUUGGGGAACAACAC
rnacentral:lncRNA from 1 species